UACGUAGGGUGCAAGCGUUGUCCGGAAUUAUUGGGCGUAAAGAGCUCGUAGGCGGCUUGUUGCGUCGACCGUGAAAACCCGGGGCUCAACUUCGGGCUUGCGGUCGAUACGGGCGGGCUAGAGUUCGGUAGGGGAGACUGGAAUUCCUGGUGUAGCGGUGAAAUGCGCAGAUAUCAGGAGGAACACCGGUGGCGAAGGCGGCCUUCUGGACAGUGACUGACGCUGGAGACGCGAAAGCGUGGGGAGCAAACAGG
rnacentral:rRNA from 1 species